rnacentral:rRNA from 1 species
GACGAAGGGGGCUAGCGUUGUUCGGAAUUACUGGGCGUAAAGCGAGUGUAGGUGGUUGUCCAAGUUGGAUGUGAAAGCCUUGAGCUCAACUCAAGAAAUGCAUUCAGGACUGGCGGCUAGAGGACCGGAGAGGAUAGUGGAAUUCCAGUGUAGUGGUGAAAUACGUAGAGAUUGGAAGAACACCAGUGGCGAAGGCGGCUAUCUGGACGGUUCUGACACUAAGACUCGAAGCGUGGGAGCAACAGG